rnacentral:rRNA from 1 species
CUCCCAGACUCCUACGGGAGGCAGCAGUGGGGAAUCUUCCGCAAUGGGCGCAAGCCUGACGGAGCAAUGCCGCGUGAACGAAGAAGGUCUUCGGAUUGUAAAGUUCUGUCCUUAUCGAAGAGAGGGUAUAGAGUGAAAAAUGAUAUACUAGGACGGUAGAUGAGGAGGAAGCCCCGGCUAACUACGUGCCAGCAGCCGCGGUAAUACGUAGGGGGCAAGCGUUAUCCGGAUUUACUGGGUGUAAAGGGAGCGUAGACGGCAGCGCAAGUCUGAAGUGAAAUGCCGGGGCUUAACCCCGGAACUGCUUUGGAAACUGAGCAGCUAGAGUGCAGGAGAGGUAAGUGGAAUUCCUAGUGUAGCGGUGAAAUGCGUAGAUAUUAGGAGGAACACCGGUGGCGAAGGCGGCCUGCUGGACUGCGACUGACGUUGAGGCCCGAAAGCGUGGGGAGCAAACAGGAUUAGAUACCCUAGUAC